rnacentral:rRNA from 1 species
CUUCACCUACGGGGCGCAGCAGUAGGGAAUCUUCCACAAUGGACGAAAGUCUGAUGGAGCAACGCCGCGUGAGUGAAGAAGGGUUUCGGCUCGUAAAGCUCUGUUGGUAGUGAAGAAAGAUAGAGGUAGUAACUGGCCUUUAUUUUACGGUAAUUACUUAGAAAGUCACGGCUAACUACGUGCCAGCAGCCGCGGUAAUACGUAGGUGGCAAGCGUUGUCCGGAUUUUUUGGGCGUAAAG